UACGGAGGGUGCAAGCGUUAUCCGGAUUCACUGGGCGUAAAGCGCACGUAGGCGGCUUUUAAGUCAGGGGUGAAAUCCUGGAGCUCAACUCCAGAACUGCCUUUGAUACUGAGGAUCUUGAGUUCGGGAGAGGUAAGUGGAAUUCCGAGUGUAGAGGUGAAAUUCGUAGAUAUUCGGAAGAACACCAGUGGCGAAGGCGACUACUGGACACAUAUUGACGCUGAGGUGCGAAAGCGUGGGGGAGCAAACAGG
rnacentral:rRNA from 1 species